CCCAAGGGACUAUAAAUACCCCAUCAACCCGUUUUGUUUCAGCAUAUUAACAUACCAAACAGUUCUAGAAGUCUCUCAAAACUUCUCCCAAAUAUUAUAGUCCGAUAAAUCAAGAAUUUAACAAGAUUUCGCCAAACUAGUCCGUGAAAGGUGAUUGUUCUUGCUUCUACUCAAGUGUGGCGUUGGAGAAAAUUGAUGUGGCUAAGUUUCUUCAAGUAUAAGACUAACAAGUUGGACGAAUAAGCGUAGCUAGUAAGGCGCGGCACAGGUACACCCAGAUGAGCUGAAGCUAGUAUAGAAGAAGUUUCAGCGAAGUUGGUAGACCCCACUUGUUCCUGGGAGUGCUGCCGAGUCAGAGCUUGUAUGCUAGGAUUUCUGGAUUGAUGUUAGAGACUUUGCAGACAGAUUCGUGGGUAUCGGGAGUCAGUCUGUCAGCGGCUCCAUCAGCCGAUGUGUCAGUUUGUAUAAUGAUAUAUGUGUUACACAGUUACAGAUUUUGUUUGAUUUGAAAGCAACAAAAGAAUAUUUCAGUAAGCUUUAUUAUGUAUACUUGAUUUAGAGGUUCAAAAAAAAUAAUAAUUUAAGUACGUAAUAAGAGUCAGCGGGUUCGCUCGGCUCCGGAUAUGGGGUCGGGUGCCCAUCACACCCUAGUAAGAUUGGGGUGUGACAAUUUCUUCAUCCUACAGUUAAAGACUUCGGGCUCGUUUGGUAUGAUGGAUAAAUAAAAAUAG